rnacentral:rRNA from 1 species
ACNUGCAGUCGAGCGGACAGAAGGGAGCUUGCUCCCGGAUGUUAGCGGCGGACGGGUGAGUAACACGUGGGUAACCUGCCUGUAAGACUGGGAUAACUCCGGGAAACCGGAGCUAAUACCGGAUAGUUCCUUGAACCGCAUGGUUCAAGGAUGAAAGACGGUUUCGGCUGUCACUUACAGAUGGACCCGCGGCGCAUUAGCUAGUUGGUGAGGUAACGGCUCACCAAGGCGACGAUGCGUAGCCGACCUGAGAGGGUGAUCGGCCACACUGGGACUGAGACACGGCCCAGACUCCUACGGGAGGCAGCAGUAGGGAAUCUUCCGCAAUGGACGAAAGUCUGACGGAGCAACGCCGCGUGAGUGAUGAAGGUUUUCGGAUCGUAAAGCUCUGUUGUUAGGGAAGAACAAGUGCAAGAGUAACUGCUUGCACCUUGACGGUACCUAACCAGAAAGCCACGGCUAACUACGUGCCAGCAGCCGCGGUAAUACGUAGGUGGCAAGCGUUGUCCGGAAUUAUUGGGCGUAAAGGGCUCGCAGGCGGUUUCUUAAGUCUGAUGUGAAAGCCCCCGGCUCAACCGGGGAGGGUCAUUGGAAACUGGGAAACUUGAGUGCAGAAGAGGANAGUGGAAUUCCACGUGUAGCGGUGAAAUGCNUAGAGAUGUGGAGGAACACCANUGGNNNAAGGCGACUCUCUGGNCUGUAACUGACNCU